AGCCUGAUGCAGCCAUGCCGCGUGUGUGAAGAAGGCCUUCGGGUUGUAAAGCACUUUCAGUCAGGAGGAAAGGUUAGUAGUUAAUACCUGCUAGCUGUGACGUUACUGACAGAAGAAGCACCGGCUAACUCCGUGCCAGCAGCCGCGGUAAUACGGAGGGUGCGAGCGUUAAUCGGAAUUACUGGGCGUAAAGCGUACGCAGGCGGUUUGUUAAGCGAGAUGUGAAAGCCCCGGGCUCAACCUGGGAACUGCAUUUCGAACUGGCAAACUAGAGUGUGAUAGAGGGUGGUAGAAUUUCAGGUGUAGCGGUGAAAUGCGUAGAGAUCUGAAGGAAUACCGAUGGCGAAGGCAGCCACCUGGGUCAACACUGACGCUCAUGUACGAAAGCGUGGGGAGCAAACAGGAUUAGAUACCCUGGUAGUCCACGCCGUAAACGAUGUCUACUAGAAGCUCGGAACCUCGGUUCUGUUUUUCAAAGCUAACGCAUUAAGUAGACCGCCUGGGGAGUACGGCCGCAAGGUUAAAACUCAAAUG
rnacentral:rRNA from 1 species